GCGGAGGAAAAGAAACUAACAAGGAUUCCCCUAGUAACGGCGAGUGAAGCGGGAAGAGCUCAAAUUUGAAAUCUGGCAGUCUUCGAUUGUCCGAGUUGUAAUCUAUAGAGGCGUUUUCCGUGCCGGACCGUGUCCAAGUCUCCUGGAAAGGAGUAUCAAAGAGGGUGAUAAUCCCGUACUUAACACGACCACCGGUGCUCUGUGAUACGUCUUCUACGAGUCGAGUUGUUUGGGAAUGCAGCUCAAAAUGGGUGGUGAAUUCCAUCUAAAGCUAAAUAUUGGCGAGAGACCGAUAGCGAACAAGUACCGUGAGGGAAAGAUGAAAAGCACUUUGGAAAGAGAGUUAAACAGUACGUGAAAUUGUUGAAAGGGAAACGAUUGAAGUCAGUCGUGUUCUUUGGAUUCAGCCAGUUCUGCUGGUCUACUUCCUUUGAACGGGUCAACAUCAGUUUUGUCCGGUGGAUAAAGGCAGUAGGAAUGUAGCUUCUCCGGAAGUGUUAUAGCCUAUUGUCACAUACACUGGGUGAGACUGAGGACUGCAGCUCGCCUUUAUGGCCGACCUUCGGGUACGUUCGAGCUUAGGAUGUUGACAUAAUGGCUUUAAACGACCCG
rnacentral:rRNA from 1 species